rnacentral:rRNA from 1 species
AUUGAACGCUGGCGGCAGGCCUAACACAUGCCAGUCGAGCGGAUGAAGGGAGCUUGCUCCUGGAUUCAGCGGCGGACGGGUGAGUAAUGCCUAGGAAUCUGCCUUGUAGUGGGGGCUAACGUCCGGAAACGGGCGCUAAUACCGCAUACGUCCUGAUGGAGAAAGUGGGGGAUCUUCGGACCUCACGCUAUCAGAUGAGCCUAGGUCGGAUUAGCUAGUUGGUGGGGUAAAGGCCUACCAAGGCGACGAUCCGUAACUGGUCUGAGAGGAUGAUCAGUCACACUGGAACUGAGACACGGUCCAGACUCCUACGGGAGGCAGCAGUGGGGAAUAUUGGACAAUGGGCGAAAGCCUGAUCCAGCCAUGCCGCGUGUGUGAAGAAGGUCUUCGGAUUGUAAAGCACUUUAAGUUGGGAGGAAGGGCAGUAAGUUAAUACCUGGCUGUUUUGACGGUACCAACAGAAUAAGCACCGGCUAACUUCGUG